rnacentral:rRNA from 1 species
AAUCACAGCCAUAUCACCCUGCAGCCCAAGACUGGGUACUCACUGAAGCUAAGCAGGGCUGAGCCUGGUCAGUACCUGGAUGGGAGACCACAUGGGGAAAACUAGGCAGCUUUUGGAA